ACGUUAAAAAGACCGUGUUUUACUUAUAUCUUACCUUUCUGUUAUCGAUAGGGGAAAUAACCACUUGGACAUGUUCGUCUUAUUACGAAGUGUAUAGUUUAAGUGAACUAAUUGUGAUAUUAUUAUUAACUAUUUUUCUCAAAUUGUGUCAUUUAUGGGGAUUCCCCUCAUGGGGUUGAACUUGUUUAUUGAGAAGUAUAAAUGACUGAUGCAUCGUUCAAAAUGCAUGGCGGAUUGCAGACUGAUUGAUGUUCAGGACGACAUCUGAAAACUCUUGAUACAGCUAGCUGCUUGGCGGUCCACAUGUCAUAUCAGUACAAGUCACGUACGAUACUCCAGUUUGCAAACAUUCCGCGCCGGAGAACAACCUUACUGAUUGGUCUCGGACACGCUAUAGACCCAUCUCCAAUUUUCAAGAUGGCCGCCAUUUUCAAGAUGGCCCCCAAGAUGGCCGCCAAAAUUUAGGAAAUUACUUGUUACUGCCAUAUUUGAUUAAAAUAUUCUGUUUUUGG